CCUUCCCAUAAACUCAGGGAAUAGCCUUUCGAAAGAAAGAUUAAUACCUGAUAGUACUUUUUCAAAGGCAUCUUGAAAAAGUUAAAGAUUUAUUGGUUAUGGAUGGGGAUGCGUUCCAUUAGAUAGUUGGUGAGGUAACGGCUCACCAAGUCUUCGAUGGAUAGGGGUUCUGAGAGGAAGGUCCCCCACAUUGGUACUGAGACACGGACCAAACUCCUACGGGAGGCAGCAGUGAGGAAUAUUGGUCAAUGGGCGAGAGCCUAGAACCAGCCAAGUAGCGUGAAGGAUGGAGGUCCCAUGGAUUGUAAACUUCUUUUAUAGUAGAAUAAAGUGAGCCACGUGUGGUUUUUGUAUGUAUACUAUGAAAUAAGGAUCGGCUAACUCCGUGCCAGCAGCUGC
rnacentral:rRNA from 1 species